AUUGAACGCUGGCGGAACGCUUUACACAUGCAAGUCGAACGGUAGAGGGGGCAACCCCUCGAGAGUGGCGAACGGGUGAGUAAUAUAUCGGAACGUGCCCAGUCGUGGGGGAUAACGUAGCGAAAGUUACUCUAAUACCGCAUACGAUCUAAGGAUGAAAGCGGGGGAUCGCAAGACCUCGCGCGAUUGGAGCGGCCGAUAUCAGAUUAGGUAGUUGGUGGGGUAAAGGCUAACCAAGCCAACGAUCUGUAGCUGGUCUGAGAGGACGACCAGCGACACUGGAACUGAGACACGGUCCAGAGUCCUACGGGAGGCAGCAGUGGGGAAUUUUGGACAAUGGACGCAAGUCUGAUCCAGCCAUUCCGCGUGCAGGAUGAAGGCCCUCGGGUUGUAAACUGCUUUUGUACGGAACGAAAAGGUCUCUCUUAAUACGGGGGACUCAUGACGGUACCGUAAGAAUAAGCACCGGCUAACUACGUGCCAGCCGCCGCGGUAA
rnacentral:rRNA from 1 species